rnacentral:lncRNA from 1 species
CUUGCGCGGGUAGAUGAUCACCGCAAAUCUGAAUUCGUGGUUUUGGAAGAGGGUUCGCUUGAAGCCGUUCAAACGUCCGGCCUCUACGGGUAUCCACACGAAGCAGGAUCCGAUCCAAGCUUUCUAUCUCACCGGGGUGCUAGCUCCCUUGCAGAGAUAGCUUUGAUGGCUGAUGUCCUCCUUCUCAAUCAACUCUUGAUUGUGCUUAGAAGGAGGAAGAAGAAGGAUGAAGAAGAGGAAGAAGAUGAUCCCCUACGCAGCCUUCUUUUGUUCCUUGCGUUGGAUGAAGGAAGGGAAGGGAAGGAGGCCGCCAACACUUGGAGAUCUUUUCCCUUGCUUGCGGCUGAAAACACCAAAGAAAAGAGAGGGCCACGGCUUGGAGGAAGAGAGGUUUCAAUCCAUCAGGGGGGCCGCCCUAGUCCUCCUUUUAAAGGGAGUGGAGCUCCUAACAAUUAGGAGCUCCAUGACAACUUACCAAAGAAGAGGGCGCCGGCCCUAGCUCUUCAUGUCGCCCUAGCCAAGUGAGAGGGGCUGAUGUCCCUCUUACUUGGUUAACCUAAUCCUCUUCCAAAGAGGAUUAGGUGCCUCUCUCAUGGUUUAAUCCCAAUCCAAUUAGGAUU